CCCUUAGAUGUUCUGGGCUGCACGCGUGCUACACUGAUAUUGCCAAUAUGUCAUUCUUAUCCGAAAUGGAUUGGGUAAUCAAGUAAUGAAAUUUCAUGCUUGGAAUCGGUAAUUGCAAUUUUAUCGUGAACGAGGAAUUCCUAGUAAGCACUAGUCAUCAGCUAAUGUUGAUUAUGUCCCUGCCCUUUGUACACACCGCCCGUCGCUACUACUGAUUGGGUGUUCAAGUGAGAUGCUUAGACCCUUGUUGCAUGGUUCAUUAUUGUGCUCCGAAAGGAAAAAGUUUCAAGCUUGAGUGUCUAGAGGAAGUAAAAGUCGUAACG
rnacentral:rRNA from 1 species